ensembl:lncRNA
AUCUUAAAAGUAAGAUUACUGCUGCUGUGGAGCAGUCUAAAAAUGAACCAAUCAAAAAUAGCUCUGGGAUUGCAGCUAGUAAACUGACAUCUUCGUCAAGUGACAUUAAGUUUAAAUAUGGAAUUCCACCUGCUAAACGACUAAUGGAACCAUCCAAAUCAGAGCUCAUCUCAAACCUUCAAACAAAUACAUUGAAUGUAGAUCCAGAGCAGCUUAUAAAUAGAACCUACAAACACAAUUCUGGGGUCAAUUCAGAUUCAGAGGUGUCAUCAACCGAAAAUACAGUCAGAAUGAACUCUGGACCAACAAAUGACCUGGCCUCACAAAGAACCAGGGAGCCAGAAACACUAAAACCUUUUAAUAAUGAACAUGUACAAGCAUUAAUAAACAAAAACUAUAUAACACAGGAAAAUGACAUGGCUAAGCAACAAAACAACACUUCACAAGUAAAGGCUGUAGAAACGACCUCUAUAAACCAAAUGGUGGAGAGUCACUCAAAACCAGAAGCAGACGAAGAAUCACUAACACAAAUAGCUUCAGCUGAAGAAAAAGAAAGCGGUCUGCAAAAAGAAAUCCAUCAAGAUGAUGAAAAUACAAAGACUCUGUUCUCAUUUGACAAGAAUGAACUCCCAAGAAACCAGAGUAUCUCAAGAAUAAAAGAUGAUUCAGAAGUAGUAAAUAACGGUCAACAGAGAGAGAAAAUAACAGAAAGUGCAAGCCCAAAACAAGAACAAGGAUUUCCCAGACUAUUAGAAAUAUCAUAUGAGAAAAACAAUCCACAGAAGUCCACAAAAGAGUCUCAAGAAGUGAAUCCGACCAAUUCCAAACCCCCAAAAUCAGCUGAAGAUGCACUAAAACCAAAUGUUUCCCCCCAGCAUAAAGUAAUAGUAGAGGAGGAUGCAACUCAAAAGAAUAAUAUACAGCCUGUUUUAACACAGAAUGUAGAAUCCACAGCAGAUACAUCAAACAUCACCAUUCUUACACCAAGCAAUGAGGAGCCUGCAGAGGAACCCAUAAUUUACAGUAUUUGUGUCUCAAGCAAAACAGAAGCAGUUUUAAAUGAUGAACCUAUGAUCUACACUAUUUGUGUGUCAAGUAAGUGUCAUAUUGAUGAGCAACAAAAUCCGGUAAAACAAGAAGAGGAGAGUUUUGUUGAAACUGACAGAUUUGUGAAGGAUGAAAGCUUUUGUAUUAAAAACAAGAGGGCGGAAAAUGAACAUGAUGAUGUUCACAGACAGACUGAAGUGUCUUCAAACAUUGAAGAAAAAGAAGACAAGAUUGGAAAGUGUGAACCACCGGCAACUACAGAUAAGUCAGGCAUCACAGGAAGAAUCAGUACAUCAUAUGAGGACCUCUUAGCUAAAUAUGGCCUACCGGUCAGAGUUUGCGGUCAUCUCACAUCAAAACAUAUGCAAGAUGAGAGAGAACAAAAAGAAAAGGAGGAGACUGAAACUCACCUGCCACACAAGCCAGUAAAUCAUGGAAUGAACAGACCUCUACCACCCAAAGAAAAAAGCUCAGAAACAACACAAACACAUCAAGAAGACUCCAGACAUGUUUCUGAUCAGCAAGCAUCCAUUACCAGUCAACCUUUAAAGGGGACCGAGAGUGAAAUCAAGCAAGUAAAAGUGCAACACUAUGAUACCAUAUCAAUAACUCAUUCCAACAACAUGGCUGAAAAGCAACAGAGUACAGGAAACAAUACGCCAAAUCUUGGUCAUUCUACAAGAGAUGCUACCAAAAUACUCAAAGAUACAGAAAAUGUUGAUCAAGAUCAAGAUACUCACAUUGAACCAUCAAGGCAAAGUAGGGGAAAUGAUAUUGAGUUGAAGGAAAAGAAAGUUGAGGAGCAAGUGAGAAACANNNNNNNNNNNNNNNNNNNNNNNNNNNNNNNNNNNNN